UAUGUUGGGAUUAAACUUCAUCAACCUAUUCAUAUGUAUUCUCGGAUUAGUGUUGCAAAUCCUAAUUAUCAAUUGAUAUUAUCACAUAUCGCUCGACAACAUCAUUCGUGUCCAAAUGACGUCGUGCAUUCUAUUGAGUCGUUCAAUCGUUGAUUUCCCAAACUACUAAACGAUCCACUAGUCGAUUGUAUCGUUGUAUAGUUGAUUUCCCAAACUAUUCAAUGAUGCAAAAGCUUUAAGUUCCAAUAGUCAAAGUGAUUACCAAAACCUAAUUCCAUAUCUAGAACAAGAGAUUUGAUAGAAGAUUAUUCUAACCUAGAUUCAAAAGGUAUUUUUCAAUCACGAUUCAAAUCCAUAAGAUCAAAAUGGAAAACAAGAAUAACCUCAACAUCAAAAGAUAACUAAGAACAAACAACAUCAUAAUCAAAGGGAAUACAUACUAAUAGAGUUGAUUACAUUCAAUCCCAACAAAAAGAGUUUAGCUACACAUUGUCAUGGUAACCUUACAAGGAGAAAAGAAGAGAUGAAAUGAGCAAGCCAUGAUGUCUCAAUGAUCUUGGAGAUUACUUCAAUCCUUGUGCUCCUUGCUCCUUAAGUUCUCUCUGGUUUUCCCUUGCUUUUUCUCUCUCUCAAGUGGUCUAUGAUAUGAUAUGAUAAUAUCUGGAUUAAGGUUUGGGGCUAUUUAUAUAAUUCUGGAAAAUUGCAGCGUGGCUUAGCCACGCUCACUUUGCUUAGCCAUACUCAGAUUUCUUCCCCAUUGGGUUUCUGCCACAUCAGCAUUGGAUGUCCAAAACCGCCUUAGCUCGCCUAGCCACGCAUAUCUCUCGCUUAGCCACGCUUCAUGGCUUUGACUUUGCUUAGCCACUCUCCCAUAUUCAGAUUUCUUUUGCUCUCUGACUUGCAUUGCUUUGGCAUGGCUUUGACUUUGCUUAGCCACGAUGACAACAUCUAAUUUUCUUCACUUUCUUUGAUCUUUUUCUCUUGGCAAGCAAAUCCCUACAUAAUUGGUUGGUAUUAAACAUAAAAAGCA
rnacentral:lncRNA from 1 species